UGUAUUUAGUUGUUUGAAACAAAAACCUCAGACUUUUCCAUCUUAUCGAAUGUGAAAAUGUCACAAGCUUGGAAUUUCUUGCAAAUCGUGAAAUAUUUGAAGAUUUGUGCUUGAUGUUCUGUUGCAGGAAAUUUUGGCCAAGCUCAAUCAAACUACGGAGUUAUUGAAGACUGUUGCAACGUUUAUCGUUCAAUAGCUUCCACUCAUUUUGGAGAAUGUCAAUGAACGGAGAAGUGUUAUGUAUGAAAAUUUAUUUAGAGUUGUGUGAGAUCAAAUAUUGUUGUUUGAGGAGCACAAGAGAAGGAGAGAGGAUGAUAAUUUUUUUUCUUUAAGAUGUUUGAUGUAUUUUUUUUUGUUUUGUUAAUGAUUUGAAUGAAUGUUUAAUGUAGAGUUUAAUCUUUGUUUA